CUCCCCCUCCCCCUCCCUCUCCCUCUCCCUCUCCCUCUCCCUCCACGGUCUCCCUCUGAUGCCGAGCCAAGGCUGGACGGUACUGCUGCCAUCUCGGCUCACUGCAACCUCCCUGCCUGAUUCUCCUGCCUCAGCCUGCCGAGUGCCUGCGAUUGCAGGCGCGCACCGCCACGCCUGACUGGUUUUCGUUUUUUUUUUGGUGGAGACGGGGUUUCGCUGUGUUGGCCGGGCUGGUCUCCAGCUCCUAGCCGCGAGUGAUCCGCCAGCCUCGGCCUCCCGAGGUGCCGGGAUUGCAGAUGGAGUCUCGUUCACUCAGUGCUCAAUGGUGCCCAGGCUGGAGUGCAGUGGCGUGAUCUCGGCUCGCUGCAACCACCUCCCAGCCGCCUGCCUUGGCCUCCCGGAGAGCCGAGAUUGCAGCCUCUGCCCGGCCGCCACCCCGUAUGGGAAGUGAGGAGCGUCUCUGCUUGGCCACCCAUCGUCUGGGAUGUGAGGAGCCCCUCUGCCUGGCUGCCCAGUCUGGAAAGUGAGGAGCGUCUCUGCCCGGCCGCCAUCCCAUCUGGGAAGCGAGGAGCGCCUCUUCCCCGCCGCCAUCCCAUCUAGGAAGUGAGGAGCGUCUCUGCCCGGCCGCCCAUCGUCUGAGAUGUGGGGAGCACCUCUGCCCCGCCGCCCUGUCUGGGAUGUGAGGAGCGCCUCUGCUGGGCCGCAGCCCUGUCUGGGAGGUGGGGAGCGUCUCUGCCCGGCUGCUCCGUCUGAGAAGUGAGGAAACCCUCUGCCUGGCAACCGCCCCGUCUGAGAAGUGAGGAGCCCCUCCGUCCGGCAACCACCCCGUCUGGGAAGUGAGGAGCGUCUCCGCCCAGCAGCCACCCCGUCCGGGAGGGAGGUGGGGGGGGUCAGCCCCCCGCCCGGCCAGCCGCCCCGUCCUGGAGGUGAGGGGCUCCUCUGCCCGGCCGCCCCUACUGGGAAGUGAGGAGCCCCUCUGCCCGGCCAGACGCCCCGUCCAGGAGGGAGGUGGGGGGGUCAGCCCCCCGCCCGGCCAGCCGCCCAGUCCGGGAGGGAGGUGGGGGGUCAGCCCCCCGCCCGGCCAGCCGCCCCGUCUGGGAGGGAGGUGGGGGGAUCAGCCCCCCGCCUGGCCAGCCGCCCCAUCCGGGAGGUGAGGGGCGCCUCUGCCCGGCCGCCCCUACUGGGAAGUGAGGAGCCCCUCUGCCCGGCCAGCCGCCCCGCCCGGGAGGGAGGUGGGGGGGUCAUCCCCCCACCUGGCCAGCCGCCCCAUCCGGGAGGGAGGUGGGGGGGUCAGCCCCCUGCCCGGCCAGCCGCCCCGUCCGGGAGGGGGGAGGGGGGGUCAGCCCCCUGCCCGGCCAGCCGCCCCGUCCGGGAGGGAGGUGGGGGGGACAGCCCCCCGCCCAGCCAGCCGCCCUAUCCAGGAGGUGAGGGGCGCCUCUGCCCGGCCGUCCCUACUGGGAAGUGAGGAGCCCCUCUGCCUGGCCAGCCGCCCCGUCCGGGAGGGUGGUGGGGGGGUCAGCCCCCCGCCCGGCCAGCCGCCCCAUCCGGGAGGUGAGGGGCGCUUCUGCCCGGCCGCCCCUACUGGGAAGUGAGGAGCCCCUCUGCCCGGCCACGACCCCGUCUGGGAGGUGUGCCCAGCGGCUCAUUGGGGAUGGGCCAUGAUGACAAUGGCGGUUUUGUGGAAUAGAAAGGCGGGAAGGGUGGGGAAAAAAUUGAGAAAUCGGAUGGUUGCCGGGUCUCUGUGGAUAGAAGUAGACAUGGGAGACUUUUCAUUUUGUUCUGUACUAAGAAAAAUUCUUCUGCCUUGGGAUCCUGUUGAUCUGUGACCUUAUCCCCAACCCUGUGCUCUCUGAAACAUGUGCUGUGUCCACUCAGGGUUAAAUGGAUUAAGGGCGGUGCAAGAUGUGCUUUGUUAAACAGAUGCUUGAAGGCAGCAUGCUCGUUAAGAGUCAUCACCACUCCCUAAUCUUAAGUACCCAGGGACACAAACACUGCGGAAGGCCAAGGCCGCAGGGUCCUCUGCCUAGGAAAACCAGAGACCUUUGUUCACUUGUUUAUCUGCUGACCUUCCCUCCACUAUUGUCCUAUGACCCUGCCAAAUCCCCCUCUGCGAGAAACACCCAAGAAUGAUCAAUAAAAAAAAAAUAAAUAAAUUAAAAAA
rnacentral:lncRNA from 1 species